CUGAAAAAGAAAGGAGAGAAGGAGCUCUUUGGGGUUGAAGCAUGAAAAAAUUGCACAGACUAUAUAGUCUAGCCUUCAGUUCUUAUUGCCUCAGUCAACAAUUAGACAUUUGCACUAUCCAAGCUUCAAGCCCAAAGGAUUCCCGCUUAAGGAGGUAAGUUGGAUAUAAUAUUAUUCAUGUGCCUUCACCUAAUAGCUUAAGCUUUCCAAAUAAUUGGCUCAUAAAUA
rnacentral:sRNA from 1 species